rnacentral:rRNA from 1 species
UACGAAGGGGGCUAGCGUUGCUCGGAAUCACUGGGCGUAAAGCGCGUGUAGGCGGCCCAUUAAGUCUGAUGUGAAAGCCCGGGGCUCACCCCCGGAAGUGCAUUGGAAACUGAUGGACUCGAGUCCCGGAGAGGAGAGUGGAAUUCCUGGUGUAGCGGUGAAAUGCGUAGAUAUCAGGAGGAACACCGGUGGCGAAGGCGGCUCUCUGGACGGUGACUGACGCUGAGACGCGAAAGCGUGGGGAGCAAACAGG